AGCGUACACGGUGGAUGCCCUGGCAGUCAGAGGCGAUGAAGGACGUGCUAAUCUGCGAUAAGCGUCGGUAAGGUGAUAUGAACCGUUAUAACCGGCGAUUUCCGAAUGGGGAAACCCAGUGUGAUUCGUCACACUAUCAUUAACUGAAUCCAUAGGUUAAUGAGGCGAACCGGGGGAACUGAAACAUCUAAGUACCCCGAGGAAAAGAAAUCAACCGAGAUUCCCCCAGUAGCGGCGAGCGAACGGGGAGCAGCCCAGAGCCUGAAUCAGUGUGUGUGUUAGUGGAAGCGUCUGGAAAGGCGCGCGAUACAGGGUGACAGCCCCGUACACAAAAAUGCACAUACUGUGAGCUCGAUGAGUAGGGCGGGACACGUGGUAUCCUGUCUGAAUAUGGGGGGACCAUCCUCCAAGGCUAAAUACUCCUGACUGACCGAUAGUGAACCAGUACCGUGAGGGAAAGGCGAAAAGAACCCCGGCGAGGGGAGUGAAAAAGAACCUGAAACCGUGUACGUACAAGCAGUGGGAGCACGCUUAGGCGUGUGACUGCGUACCUUUUGUAUAAUGGGUCAGCGACUUAUAUUCUGUAGCAAGGUUAACCGAAUAGGGGAGCCGAAGGGAAACCGAGUCUUAACUGGGCGUUAAGUUGCAGGGUAUAGACCCGAAACCCGGUGAUCUAGCCAUGGGCAGGUUGAAGGUUGGGUAACACUAACUGGAGGACCGAACCGACUAAUGUUGAAAAAUUAGCGGAUGACUUGUGGCUGGGGGUGAAAGGCCAAUCAAACCGGGAGAUAGCUGGUUCUCCCCGAAAGCUAUUUAGGUAGCGCCUCGUGAAUUCAUCUCCGGGGGUAGAGCACUGUUUCGGCAAGGGGGUCAUCCCGACUUACCAACCCGAUGCAAACUGCGAAUACCGGAGAAUGUUAUCACGGGAGACACACGGCGGGUGCUAACGUCCGUCGUGAAGAGGGAAACAACCCAGACCGCCAGCUAAGGUCCCAAAGUCAUGGUUAAGUGGGAAACGAUGUGGGAAGGCCCAGACAGCCAGGAUGUUGGCUUAGAAGCAGCCAUCAUUUAAAGAAAGCGUAAUAGCUCACUGGUCGAGUCGGCCUGCGCGGAAGAUGUAACGGGGCUAAACCAUGCACCGAAGCUGCGGCAGCGACGCUGAUGCGUUGUUGGGUAGGGGAGCGUUCUGUAAGCCUGUGAAGGUGUGCUGUGAGGCAUGCUGGAGGUAUCAGAAGUGCGAAUGCUGACAUAAGUAACGAUAAAGCGGGUGAAAAGCCCGCUCGCCGGAAGACCAAGGGUUCCUGUCCAACGUUAAUCGGGGCAGGGUGAGUCGACCCCUAAGGCGAGGCCGAAAGGCGUAGUCGAUGGGAAACAGGUUAAUAUUCCUGUACUUGGUGUUACUGCGAAGGGGGGACGGAGAAGGCUAUGUUGGCCGGGCGACGGUUGUCCCGGUUUAAGCGUGUAGGCUGGUUUUCCAGGCAAAUCCGGAAAAUCAAGGCUGAGGCGUGAUGACGAGGCACUACGGUGCUGAAGCAACAAAUGCCCUGCUUCCAGGAAAAGCCUCUAAGCAUCAGGUAACAUCAAAUCGUACCCCAAACCGACACAGGUGGUCAGGUAGAGAAUACCAAGGCGCUUGAGAGAACUCGGGUGAAGGAACUAGGCAAAAUGGUGCCGUAACUUCGGGAGAAGGCACGCUGAUAUGUAGGUGAAGUCCCUCGCGGAUGGAGCUGAAAUCAGUCGAAGAUACCAGCUGGCUGCAACUGUUUAUUAAAAACACAGCACUGUGCAAACACGAAAGUGGACGUAUACGGUGUGACGCCUGCCCGGUGCCGGAAGGUUAAUUGAUGGGGUCAGCGCAAGCGAAGCUCUUGAUCGAAGCCCCGGUAAACGGCGGCCGUAACUAUAACGGUCCUAAGGUAGCGAAAUUCCUUGUCGGGUAAGUUCCGACCUGCACGAAUGGCGUAAUGAUGGCCAGGCUGUCUCCACCCGAGACUCAGUGAAAUUGAACUCGCUGUGAAGAUGCAGUGUACCCGCGGCAAGACGGAAAGACCCCGUGAACCUUUACUAUAGCUUGACACUGAACAUUGAGCCUUGAUGUGUAGGAUAGGUGGGAGGCUUUGAAGUGUGGACGCCAGUCUGCAUGGAGCCGACCUUGAAAUACCACCCUUUAAUGUUUGAUGUUCUAACGUGGACCCGUGAUCCGGGUUGCGGACAGUGUCUGGUGGGUAGUUUGACUGGGGCGGUCUCCUCCUAAAGAGUAACGGAGGAGCACGAAGGUUGGCUAAUCCUGGUCGGACAUCAGGAGGUUAGUGCAAUGGCAUAAGCCAGCUUGACUGCGAGCGUGACGGCGCGAGCAGGUGCGAAAGCAGGUCAUAGUGAUCCGGUGGUUCUGAAUGGAAGGGCCAUCGCUCAACGGAUAAAAGGUACUCCGGGGAUAACAGGCUGAUACCGCCCAAGAGUUCAUAUCGACGGCGGUGUUUGGCACCUCGAUGUCGGCUCAUCACAUCCUGGGGCUGAAGUAGGUCCCAAGGGUAUGGCUGUUCGCCAUUUAAAGUGGUACGCGAGCUGGGUUUAGAACGUCGUGAGACAGUUCGGUCCCUAUCUGCCGUGGGCGCUGGAGAACUGAGGGGGGCUGCUCCUAGUACGAGAGGACCGGAGUGGACGCAUCACUGGUGUUCGGGUUGUCAUGCCAAUGGCACUGCCCGGUAGCUAAAUGCGGAAGAGAUAAGUGCUGAAAGCAUCUAAGCACGAAACUUGCCCCGAGAUGAGUUCUCCCUGACUCCUUGA
rnacentral:rRNA from 1 species